GACAGAGGGGGCAAGCGUUGCUCGGAAUUACUGGGCGUAAAGGGCGCGUAGGCGGGAUGGUAAGUCGGUCGUGAAAUCCCUCGGCUCAACCGAGGAACGUCGAUCGAUACUACCGUUCUUGAGGAUUGCAGAGGAGACUGGAAUUCCCGGUGUAGCGGUGAAAUGUGUAGAGAUCGGGAGGAACACCGGUGGCGAAGGCGGGUCUCUGGGCAAUUCCUGACGCUGAGGCGCGAAAGCGUGGGGAGCAAACGGG
rnacentral:rRNA from 1 species